rnacentral:tRNA from 1 species
GUGGGGUUGCAGCUCAGCGGUAGAGCGCUUGCCUUGUAUGUGUGAGGCACUGGGUUCGAUCCUCAGCACCACA